CAUCAAAAGCAUUACAGCAUCUACCAAUCUGCCAAUCACGGGAAUAUGAUGAACAACGUUUGGAAAACUGCAGUUCUCCUGGCUACGACCGUAGCAGUUGCACACUGCUUGACCUGCCUCAGAUGCCCCGUCAGCACAGGGGACCUAUGUAAUUUGGCAGAAGACGUCGAAUGUCCUAAUCCAACUGACCAAUGCUUCCGUGGAUCUGUCGCUUUUGGUCCUGACUCGGACACCUGCUUACUCGUCACCGGCUGCCUGCCAGAGAGCCUGUGCGGGCAAGCGCUGACUAGUGAGCAACUCGCAGAUGGGCAGCUCGGAGUUGAGUUCUCGGCCGAAUUAGAGUGUUGCAACACCGACCGAUGCAACGGUGCCACGUCCGUCAAGCUCUCCUUCGCAAUGGCCAUCUCUGCCAUCAUUUUUUCACUCUGGUUCAUGUAGGACCUGGGAGUAAUUUGAUGAGUUUUUACAGAAGAAACCAAAUCUUGCUUCAUUGCACUUUUGGCCUGGUAUGAGGGAGAAAAUCAAGCAGUGGUUCUGGUGAGUCGGGACCAAAAUUUAACACGUAUUUGUAUUCUGAUUUAUUCAAGACAGGAAUGACGCGUACAAAGUACCCACAUAAAACAUACAAGAAUAGGUAAGCUUUAGAAAAUGUUACUGGCUCAUGCUAUAGUCACUAGCUACUCUGUAUACAAAUACAGUAUAGCUCAGCUUUUGGCCAAGCGGGCAUCAUAGCUAGCCAUAUGCUUUUGGCACUAUGUCAAACAAACAAAUUUGAAAAAAAAAAUGUUACAUAUGGUAUUUUGAGAGACUAUUUUUAAAUUUUUAAAAAAUUGCUCUUAACUUCUUUAGAAUGUGUCACGGAUUUGCAACAAUAGGAAGAUGCGGGUCCCCGAGUAACAACGGGUGAGAACCACUGAAAUAACGUAGUUGUCCUUCGCUCUAUUGCGGUUCCCUUUUAAGGCUUCACUUCAAAAUAUAUUACGGAUUAUGUGCUAUUAUUUUUUUCUGCACGGACUGUUACUGAAGCCUCAUUUAGCAAUAGGCGCAAGAUAGGAGGAAAUCAAAGAGGGCAUAAAAGACAGAGAAUGUCCACCAUUUGGGAUUAUUUUACACGUAAUAACAUUAGCUAAAGGGCAACGUGCCGAUGGCAAAGUACAAUACAAUACAAUACAUGCUGAUUUAUAUAGUAGAACUGGCUUUUGUUACACAACUCCACAUCUACAGUCAACAUUGCUAGCCAAUUUAGCAUAGCCUACCAUAGCUAGUUAGAAUGAAAUGCAGUCCCUCUGCAGGUGUUUAGGCUACAGGGAGGAAGAGACAAAGCCGCUUGUACAGUUUUGAUUGCUUUAUUGACCAAACAGUGACAAAAUACAGGAAACACAAGCUAAUUUCUUUGACGACCGGCCAAUGGCCUCAACAAACGCCAUCCCUCAACACGCAGAGUGACUGGUUUAGCUAUUUGACAGUCAACCAUCUCUACAUUCUCAGUUGCUGAUGUUUACAAUACUCAACAGGCCUGGCCUGGCUUUAAAAGGCACAGUGACUGGUUUAGCUAGCUAACAGUCAACCAUCUCUAAAUUCUCAGUUGCUGAUGUUUACAAUACUCAACAGGCCUGGCCCGCCUUUAAAAGGCACACAUGCAUUCAACAUCACAGAUACUAAAGUGUAGAUGACAAGGAUGGUGACACCAGGUGGACAAAAAUAAUAGCCUCGCAUGCAUAUAUUCUGGUAUUAUGCGCAAGAUUUAAUGUGCUUAAAAGUAAUAAAAUAAAUAUUUGGGUCGCUCUUUGCGGGGUUCAUGUAUUGUAGGAGCAAUCUGAAAUUACCGUACCUGCAGUUUCUAAUUCAAGAAUCAAGGGUUUGGGAAGAUGCUUUGUCAAAGUCUACAUUUACAUCUGAUUUUGCCAAAAGGUAAAAAAAGUACAAGCAUGAAUAAAACAUUUAGUAUGAUUAGUGGUGAGUGAAGUCCACUAUGUCUAAAUAUAUGAAAUGCUACGAUUCGUACUCUGCUUCUCUGUGUGGAGUGCACAAAAAUGUACAACUGAGUGUAUGGAAUUCCUUGUCCCGCAAUAAGCUUAAUAAAUGAAGCUAUCAUGUCAAAAAAAUAGAGUAGAAUGGGAGUCUUUUAUUCCAGUCAACACCACCCUCUAGUGUACGUAUGAGGUAAAUAAACUUUGUAAAAAAGCUGUUCUUGGUGCAAAAAAUAUUUCAAAACUGAGCAACCACCAAUAAUUCCUGAAGAAAGACCAGCGUUGGUCUUCCUUUAUGAAUGAGAUCCCCAUUAAUGAAACAAAAACGUCUCACUCCGGAACAAAAAGCAAACAAAGCAAAACAGGAACAAAAAAUAAACAGUGUGGUACUGAACAUCUUCAUUUGUUGAAUUUGCGGCAUUAGAAUGCCAUUUACCAAAAUAAAAAAAGCUAUUUCAAACAAAAACAUCAUGUUUUAGUUCACAAUUUAUUUGAUAUUCCCUUGACAGUCCCUUGGGAAGCUUUUACAAUUCCACAGUUAGAGUAUUGCACAGGAUUGCCGUCAAACAAUUGUUGUCCCUUUGUUGUGCGUACGUGCGUGCACAGCCAAACUUUCCCGGUGAGCGUAACUUCGACCACAAAUUGAACAACAAUAGGGUUUUUCCCCCGUGUGUAUUCUCAUGUGUCUAACCAUAUCGGACUUUUGAGUGAAAGCUUUAGCACAAACUGAACAACUAAAAGGCUUUUCGCCUGUGUGUAUUCGCAUGUGUUUAAUCA